UACGUAGGGUGCGAGCGUUGUCCGGAAUUAUUGGGCGUAAAGAGCUCGUAGGCGGCUUGUCGCGUCGGAUGUGAAAGCCCGGGGCUUAACUCCGGGUCUGCAUUCGAUACGGGUAGGCUAGAGUUCGGUAGGGGAGAUCGGAAUUCCUGGUGGUAGCGGUGAAAUGACGCAGAUAUCAGGAGGAACACCGGUGGCGAAGGCGGAUCUCUGGGCCGAUACUGACGCUGAGGAGCGAAAGCGUGGGGAGCGAACAGG
rnacentral:rRNA from 1 species